AUUGAUCUUGAUUAUCGGGAAGCAGACGUAUGCUGUUUUUCUUCUAGGCGGUGUUGCGUUAGCAUAGAAUCAACACAGCAGUCCGCAAAACUACGCCUGUCAAUCGGUUUUCAACAUACACUUCCCAUCAUGUGUUGCUGGAUCUUAGUUUUUUAGUUAAAUUGUUUAUUUUAUUUCUAUUUUGCCUUAUUCUAAUCGCACAUUUCAUUCAGAUGCUUCUUUUCAAACUAAAUAAAAUUGGUUAGCUAAAACGAAGGAGGAAGGAAAUGCAUGCGUGAGACAUUCAACUUUGCAGUCAGCUAACCAGGCACUAUCAGGAAUCCAUUUUAAGUGAUUAAGUGAAAAAGCGACUUAGCCUACGUUUUAAAAUGUGGGCUUUGGUAAGAUCAGAUCAUUCAAGAAGUCACCGCGUUCAGUCACCUGCCAGUCUAUUCGCCAACAAGACACAGAAAGCCACGUAUUUCCCUUUUAACUUUAGACUUACUCUUGAGUUUGUUUACAGAGUUGAACCUAGUGAGUGCCACGUUUAAAAAAAAAUAUAUAUUAUGCUUUUAAAUUUACAUUAUGAAAAAUGAGUUGAAUAUUCCA
rnacentral:lncRNA from 1 species